GUUAUCAUCGGAUGAUGGAACUUUGAUGGAGUCAGUACUAGGUACUUCCUCGUAUUCACGAUGAUUGCAUGUAAUACAAGGUGGAUUCCUUGCACAUAGGAGUUCUCUAUCCCACACAGGUGAGAUUGAAAGUUCAUCUAAACCUCGAGCCAUUUCUGACAAGGCGGUCAUGAAUUGUAAUAUGCCAACUCCAUCAAUCAUUGUGUGAUUAAACCGCAUGCCAACGAUGAAACCACCACACUUGAGGCGUGUAACCUGUCAUUUAAAAUCCACUACCAAUAUUAUCGAUAUGGGAGAUUAAUGAACAAGUCAAGCAACCACAAUAGCAACAUGUAUUAUUUAUCAUUGUAUCUUCAUUUAACUAUUAUUCUAGUUCUUAGUCUGAUAAGUUUACAACUACAACUAAAACUUUAUCUAUAGAUAUAUAUAUCGAAAAUAUUCCUGAAAUCAAAACGGCGAGAGAUAUAGUGCUAAGUUCGAGAAAUAGUUUGAAUGAUAGAUAUUUAUAGUUUAAUGGUUGGAUCCAUAAAAAUGAUUAUGUAAAAAGUUAGAGUGGUCUGUCUUAUAUAUAGUUGAUACUUCCACCUCCUCUAUAUAAUAUAUUUAUAUAUUAUUAUAUAAUUUUUCUUUAUUCCGGUAUAUAUCACCUACAUAACUAUGAAAUUAACCUUCCACCUAGGGAUGGUAAGUGAGACUCACAAAUUCGAAAGUCUAACCCGGCAAUAAAUAUUUGUUUGAGCGUAGUGGACUAUCUCCUUCGUUAACCACUUUUGAUUACAUCUAUGUCUACUGUUUUGCUAUAGGUUUACAUUAAUUUGAACAAUAAUGUGUAUUUAUAUUUGUACAAUUAUAAUAAAUAAACUGCAUAUAUGUAUAACGAUGUGAGUAAAAUAUGGUUUGUAACUCUCUACCUCAACUACAUAUGAGUCUUCAAAUAACAUAAUUAAAUUUUGAAUUUUCACAAAGUUGAAAACUUGAAAUAUUUUUUCUACUAUUCUCUUUGCUAAUUAAGAAGUGGAAAUUAAAAGAGAAAUAUAGUGGUAGACCUGUAUUAGCAGAAGGGGAGUGUGAAGAAUUCCUUCUGAGCCUGGAACAUCAUUAAGGAGUUCUUCAAAACAUGGAAAAGGAGGUUGAAGAGAAUCACCAAAUUGCUCAAGUGUUACAUCUGCAUCAGCCUCAACAAACAACACACCUUCUUCAUUACAAUCCACCAUGAGUUUUCGGUCAGCACCUUCCCUAAGUCUACCUGCAAAUGGGUAGUAGAACACAAGUGUUUGUGCAAGUGCUUGUCUAAUGACUUCAACUGGGUCUUUUCCUUCCAUUGAAGGUUCAUUACGGUAGAUUUGUACGAAUGGAAUUUGGAUACGCAAACCUUGUUGGUCAUCUAUGUCAGAAAGUGGCUUGAUUUCAUGAGGAGUAGGCUUAGCGGGAGUUACAUACUCUGGUUGGUGUCUCCUAACAGUGAAUAUUAGACAGGGAGGAGGAGCCAUAUCUUGGGAAAAAGCCAUAGUGAAAUUAGAGAAUAUCACAUAUGAGUGAGUGUCACAUGCAUUGCAUGGGGCUAAACUGCUAGAAUUUAUAAUGGAGCAUGAGAUAAUGAAUUUAGUAGUAUUAUCAAGGGUAUCUCCUCACCUUUUGGGUAAGGAACUAAUCUUCUUUUAGAUUAUAUGGUUGUCCAUCUCAAUAAGUAUCACUCACAUGAAUCAAACCAUUGACUUUUUACUCCUCUGGGAGUCUAGUAGAAUUUUAUAUCACUAAAUUAACAUAUUGUAGAAUGAAUUAAUCAUUAAUUAGAAAGGCUCUAAGUAGAGGUUCCUGAUAUUUACUCAUGUAUGCAUAGGCCCUAAACCCAUUUGUUUAUUUUUAAUUGUAUGCUUUUGCAGUUUAUGACAAGAAAUUGAGCGACCAAAUAUUUAGGCAAAUUUUAGUCCAUUUGUUUAUUUUUAAUUGUAUGCUUAUGCAGUUAUGACAAGAAAUUGAGGGACCAAAUAUUUAGGGAAGUGUAGGUUAACUUCCUUCUAUACUAGCGUGUCGGUCGACAACUCGUAUUAUUAUUUUUUGUAUAAAAGACCAUACAAUUAGCGAUAAUAUUAUUUUAUUAUGGACGAACGAGUGCUAAUAUAUUCUCUGAUUCGUAAUCAACUUCUAAGCUCAGAACUCGGGUUUAAAGACUAUUUUAUCCAAUUUGGCAUAAAAGAUAGCUUUAUACAUUUUAACCACUAAAAAAUAACGGCGAAUCCAAAUAUGUUGGGAGAGAUGAAGUUGAAUUCACUUCUUCCCAAGUCUAGAGUCGGUUUCCAACUGAAAAUCGAGUAUGACAACUCGCGACUCUACUGUGGACACAUCCUCAUAAGAGAAUUUGACUGAUAGCCACACGAGCUAAAAUACCCUUACCUUGUUAAAAAAAUAUUUAUCUAUUUUUUUCCUAAUCUAAUUAAUUAUUUGUACAUACUCAUCCAUUUUCUUAUGUAGUUUUUUGGGUUGAAAUUUAUUUUUAAUAAAGGUUUGUACACUUUCUCAAACACAAUCACAAUAUGCUUGCUUACACAUACAUAUAUCGUAAACCUGGAUAUUACUGAUUUUGAGAUAGAGGGAACAUCUCUGUUGAUGUUUUCCACACUCUUUCCAUUUCAGUUAUUUUUGCUUUGCCUAUCAAGAAAGCCAUCGACCAAUUCUUUUGCAAAUCUUUUCAUAACUUUGGUAGGCAAGCAAAUUAGUACUACCAUGCCAUCUUCCCCUCUUGAAUUUUUACUCAAGACAUGGUAGUGUGCUCCAAAAAAGGAACCUGCUCCAGCUUUAGCUUGUCCACCAUAUAAAGACUUACCCCAUCCAAAAUCCACAUCUCUAUACCCAAGACGUGUUACAUCUGAUACAAUGCUAGUUCCAGGUAUUGUAAAUAAGGGUCGUUUCUUAAUAACCAUUAAAUCUGCCAAAGAAUGCAUAUAUUCUUCAGUCACCUCAACCUUUGUUUUUUUAAUCAAUUCCACUGCAUACUCAAAUGGGUUUUCACUGAGAUUGUGUACUGUAGUGACUGCUGCAGGGUAUGCAAUACAAUUUCCAUAAUAACCAAUAGGUAAUAUAGGGUUAAACUUAGAACGUGCGUUGACGAUGCACAUCAUUCGAACAACCUCGUGUGAUUCCAAUUGCAGUGCUUUUGUUCGACAAAGCCAUACAUAUGCUGUAAGAACCUCAAAAGUGGUGCAUCGACCAAAAUGAGUGGGAAGCAAGCCAUGAAUUGCUGCUAUCUCAUUGGGUCCAAAGAAGAAAGAUUUGUGAACCAAGUUACCGUUAUCAUCGGAUGAUGGAACUUUGAUGGAGUCAGUACUAGGUACUUCCUCGUAUUCACGAUGAUUGCAUGUAAUACAAGGUGGAUUCCUUGCACAUAGGAGUUCUCUAUCCCACACAGGUGAGAUUGAAAGUUCAUCUAAACCUCGAGCCAUUUCUGACAAGGCGGUCAUGAAUUGUAAUAUGCCAACUCCAUCAAUCAUUGUGUGAUUAAACCGCAU
rnacentral:lncRNA from 1 species